GCGAAAUGCGAUACCUGGUGUGAAUUGCAGAAUCCCGCGAACCAUCGAGUCUUUGAACGCCCGAGGCCUCUUGGCCGAGGGCACGCCUGCCUGGGCGUCACGCCAAACACGCUCCCACCUGGGGCGGGACGCGGCAUGUGGCUCCUCGUCCUGCAAGGGGCGGUGGGCCAAAGAUCGCCUAUCGUGCCGGACACAGCGCGUGGUAGGCGACCUCGCUUUACUAAACGCAGUGCCUAGCCGACGCGAUGGCCCCAAUGGACCCUUUUA
rnacentral:rRNA from 1 species